rnacentral:rRNA from 1 species
AUACGUAGGGGGCGAGCGUUGUCCGGAAUUACUGGGCGUAAAGGGCGUGUAGGCGGUCUGAUAAGUCAGAUGUGAAAACCCUGGGCUUAACCUAGGGAUUGCAUUUGAAACUGUUGGGCUUGAGGUCAGGAGAGGGAAGCGGAAUUCCCAGUGUAGCGGUGAAAUGCGUAGAUAUUGGGAGGAACACCAGUGGCGAAGGCGGCUUCCUGGACUGCACCUGACGCUGAGGCGCGAAAGCUAGGGUAGCGAACGGGAUUAGAUACCCCGGUAGUCCUAGCCGUAAACGAUGGAUACUAGGUGUGGGAGGUAUCGACCCCUUCCGUGCCGCAGUUAACGCAAUAAGUAUCCCGCCUGGGGAGUACGGCCGCAAGGUUGAA